AACAUGUCAGAGUAUGCCAGGAUAACUUCUUAAAUUGUUAAGAAUUAAUAUAUUACAGGUGCUUACCUGUAAUAUAGGUUCACAGUUUUUGUUUUUAAUUUUUGGAUGUAGAGGAAAUGUCUAAGCAUAAGUAAUUAAUGAAGACAUUUAAAAAAUUAUUUUUUAGGCCAACCAUAUUCUGAUCCAGUGCCACAAAGGCAAGAUAGAUUUUAUUCCAAUUCUGGUAGACUCUCUGGGCCAGCGGAGCUCAGAAGCUAUAACAUGCCUUCCUUGGAUAAAGUGGAUGGGCCAGUAUCCUCAGAAAUGGAAUCCAGUAGAAACGAUACCAAAGAUAAUCUUGGUAACUCUAAUGUGCCUGAUUCUCCUCACCCCACUGAAAGUGAAGCAGCUGGCCGAGGCUUCAUCCCACCACCAUUUCCCCCAGUCAGAGCCCCAUUGUUUCCAGUGGAUCCAAGGAGCCAGUUCAUGAGAAGGGGCCCCUCUUUUCCCCCACCUCCUCCAGGAAACAU
rnacentral:lncRNA from 1 species